AUGUAUACUCCUGGCCCCCAAGGAGUGGAGGAUCGGCAGAGCCCAGACCCCACAGGGCACCCCGUGCCAGCGUCCAACUCCAGGGGCUUCUAGGAGCUGGGGCAUCUUGGUCCCCUCUGGAGCCCAACAGAACUCGGAACCGGUAAGCAGGCGCCUCAUCCUAGAGAAGCCCCUGCCCAGCUGGCUUGGCCGGAGCCCUUGAUGAGCAGCGUGUCCUCCUGUGCGUCCUGAGGUCCCAAGGCCGCAGCCACAGACGUUGUCUGGUCAUUUGCCCAGAAGAACCAACGGUAACACAGGGCAGCCCAGUCCCAACCCAGCGGCCUCUGGGACCCCACGCGGGAGCCCUGUGUCCCCUCCCUGUGUGUGUGAGAGGGAGGGCUUGUGUCGGGUGGGCCUGCCCCGAGCGGGAGCAGGCUGAGGGGUCAGAGGGCCGGCUAUGUUAACCCCCCAGGUGAAGGUAGCAGGAGGGAGUGUGGGGACCUGGGGACCCUCUUGGCCGAGGUUUGUACCCAGUCCUGGGGGUGGUCUCACUUCUUCCCGGGAGAGGUCUGUGCACGAUCUGGGAGCAGAAAGUCCAGGGGCGGGGAAAGCAUCAUCCUUGUGCGGGCAGGACUCUGGGUCCUCAGGCCGCCGGCCCGAGGAGGUGGAGGACCAGGGCACCCCCUCCGUCCCCGAGCAAGGGGCGUCCAUGUGGGCGGCACAGGCUUGGGGGCGUGCCGGGGCAGGAAAGGGUCUCGAGGGCCGAGGUGGCUGGGAACGUCCACCUGCACCUGCCUCCUGCAGGGGGCCCAGAGCAGCCGGACGCGCCUUCCUGUGAACUGCCCGCAGCACCGAAUCCCGACCCCGGACCCUUCUCCCUGCUCCCGCCUAGAGCUUGCCUUCCCCUCCCGAUAUUUCUAAUUUCUACUUUUCAUUUGACAUUACUUAUGGUGCCUUUCAGUUGAGGCCUCACUGUCACAGCAUUUAAUUCUUUACACUGUACAUCAUGCACUUCCUAAGCAUGGAGUAUACUCAACGAUGCUGAGUGACCUUCCCCGCGGUUCCACUCCAGAGGAAACCCUGACCCGAGGGCUUGCUCCCUGGCCGCACUCACCUUCCGAGAUGGACCCCACUGUGGAUCUCCCUCAGCAGAUCCAUUUCUGACCUAAAGGAACAAAAGCCGCCCACCCCCCAGCCUCCCUCCCCCAGCCGCUGACGCCCAGAGUCUGCUUUCUGUCUCUUGUCUCUCCCUGCUCUGGAUGUUCCUAUAAACGGAAUCGAGCUAUAGGCACCUCUUUUAUGUAGCCCACAUAUUUUAAGUGGGGAGUGGUUAAUUUUUUUUUAACUUGAAGUAGCAUUCUUGUUAAAUGAAAGGGGAAUUCUAGGUGAGUUAAAA
rnacentral:lncRNA from 1 species